CCCUUAGAUGUUCUGGGCCGCACGCGCGCUACACUGAUGCAUUCAACGAGUUUCUUCCUGGUCCGAGAGGAAUGGUAACCUUUUGAAAGUGCAUCGUGAUAGGGAUAGACUAUUGCAAUUAUUGGUCUUCAACGAGGAAUUCCUAGUAGACGUAGUUCAUCAGACUGCAUCGAUUACGUCCCUGCCCUUUGUACACACCGCCCGUCGCUCCUACCGAUUGAAUGCUCAGGUGAGCCAUUCGGACUUUCAUCAUGCUGGUUUCCAGUUUUGAUGAAGGAAAGUCUUGCGAACCUUAUCAUUUAGAGGAAGGAGAAGUCGUAACA
rnacentral:rRNA from 1 species